UCAAGCGCGAAAAGGGCGUUUGGUGAAUGCCUUGGCAGUAAGAGGCGAUGAAGGACGUGAUACUCUGCGAUAAGUUAUGGGGAGCUGAGAAUAAGCUUUGAUCCAUAAAUUUCCGAAUGGGGCAACCCACCUGAUAUUUUGUUAUUGUUGCACUUCGGUGCAUUCAAUAAUGAGGUAAACCAGGUAUUUAUAACUUGAAUACAUAGGGUUAUAAAAGCAAACCCGGGGAACUGAAACAUCUAAGUACCCGGAGGAAAGGACAUCAAUUAGAUACUCCCCUAGUAGCGGCGAGCGAACGGGGAUCAGCCGAGCCAUGAAUGUGACUAGAAUGUGUUGGAAAGCACAACCAAAGUGGGUGACAGUCCCGUAUAGGAAGCAUGAUUGGACGUAUUAAGUAGGGCGGGACACGUGAAAUCCUGUUCGAAGAUCGGAGGACCACCUCCGAAGGCUAAGUACUCCUUACUGACCGAUAGUGAACCAGUACCGUGAGGGAAAGGUGAAAAGCACCCCGACGAGGGGAGUGAAACAGUUUCUGAAACCGGACGCCUACAAUCAGUCGGAGGCCCCUUGAGGGCUGACGGCGUACCUUUUGUAUAAUGGGUCAUCGACUUAGUGUAUCUAGCAAGCUUAAGCCGUUAGGUGUAGGCGUAGCGAAAGCGAGUCUUAAUAGGGCGAUUGAGUUAGAUGUAUUAGACCCGAAACCGAGUGAUCUAGGCAUGGCCAGGUUGAAGGUAAGGUAACACUUACUGGAGGACCGAACCCACAUCCGUUGAAAAGGAUCGGGAUGAGCUGUGCCUAGGGGUGAAAGGCCAAUCAAACUCGGAGAUAGCUGGUUCUCCCCGAAAUCUAUUUAGGUAGAGCGUCAUCCGAAUACCCCGGGGGGUAGAGCACUGGAUGGGUAAUGGGUCCCCACAGGCUUACUGAUCCUAACCAAACUCCGAAUACCCGGGAGUAAUAGAUGGCAGACACACUGCGGGUGCUAACGCCCGUAGUGAAAAGGGAAACAACCCUGACCGACAGUUAAGGCCCCUAAUUCAUGGCUAAGUGGAAAAGCAGGUGAGACGACCAUAACAACCAGGAAGUUGGCUUAGAAGCAGCCAUCUUUUAAAGAUAGCGUAACAGCUCACUGGUCUAAUUAAGUUGUCCUGCGGCGAAGAUGUAACGGGGCUCAAGCCAUGAGCCGAAACUUCGGAUGCAUUUAUGCAUGGUAGCGGAGCGUAGUGUGACAUAGUUCCAUGCGUCUUUAACUUCCUUCGGGGAGUAUUGGACGCAAGGAGCUUUCUGUGAAGCCGGCCUGUGAGGGAUCCGGUGGAGAGAUCACUAGUGAGAAUGAUGACAUGAGUAACGACAAAGGGGGUGAGAGACCCCCUCGCCGAAAAUCCAAGGGUUCCUGCUUAAAGCUAAUCUGAGCAGGGUGAGCCGGCCCCUAAGCCGAGGGCGAAAGCCGUAGGCGAUGGGAACCAGGUUAAUAUUCCUGGGCCAGGAGGAAGUGACGGAUCAUGAAGAUUGUUGGAUCAGGCGUAGUUGCCCCAGCAGUUAAUUGGUUCCUGGAAAUAGCCCUCCAUCAGACCGUACCCUAAACCGACACAGGUGGAUAGGUAGAGUAUACCAAGGCGCUUGAGAGAACUAUGUUGAAGGAACUCGGCAAAAUACCUCCGUAAGUUCGCGAGAAGGAGGCCCGGUUUCUAGGCAACUGGAAGCUGGGGGCACAAACCAGGGGGUGGCGACUGUUUACUAAAAACACAGGGCUCUGCGAAGUCGUAAGACGACGUAUAGGGUCUGACGCCUGCCCGGUGCCUGAAGGUUAAAAGGAGGGGUGAGAGCUCCGAAUUGAAGCCCAGGUAAACGGCGGCCGUAACUAUAACGGUCCUAAGGUAGCGAAAUUCCUUGUCGGGUAAGUUCCGACCUGCACGAAUGGCGUAACGACUUCCCCGCUGUCUCCAACAUCGACUCAGCGAAAUUGAACUCUCCGUGAAGAUGCGGAGUUCCUG
rnacentral:rRNA from 1 species